rnacentral:rRNA from 1 species
ACCGGAUAUGACUCCUCAUCGCCUGGUGGGGGGUGGAAAGCUUUAUUGUGGUUUUGGAUGGACUCGCGGCCUAUCAGCUUGUUGGUGAGGUAAUGGCUCACCAAGGCGACGACGGGUAGCCGGCCUGAGAGGGUGACCGGCCACACUGGGACUGAGACACGGCCCAGACUCCUACGGGAGGCAGCAGUGGGGAAUAUUGCACAAUGGGCGAAAGCCUGAUGCAGCGACGCCGCGUGAGGGAUGACGGCCUUCGGGUUGUAAACCUCUUUCAGUAGGGAAGAAGCGAAAGUGACGGUACCUGCAGAAGAAGCGCCGGCUAACUACGUGCCAGCAGCCGCGGUAAUACGUAGGGCGCAAGCGUUAUCCGGAAUUAUUGGGCGUAAAGAGCUCGUAGGCGGUUUGUCGCGUCUGCCGUGAAAGUCCGGGGCUCAACUCCGGAUCUGCGGUGGGUACGGGCAGACUAGAGUGAUGUAGGGGAGACUGGAAUUCCUGGUGUAGCGGUGAAAUGCGCAGAUAUCAGGAGGAACACCGAUGGCGAAGGCAGGUCUCUGGGCAUUAACUGACGCUGAGGAGCGAAAGCAUGGGGAGCGAACAGGAUUAGAUACCCUGGUAGUCCAUGCCGUAAACGUUGGGCACUAGGUGUGGGGGACAUUCCACGUUUUCCGCGCCGUAGCUAACGCAUUAAGUGCCCCGCCUGGGGAGUACGGCCGCAAGGCUAAAACUCAAAGGAAUUGACGGGGGCCCGCACAAGCGGCGGAGCAUGCGGAUUAAUUCGAUGCAACGCGAAGAACCUUACCAAGGCUUGACAUGAACCGGAAAUACCUGGAAACAGGUGCCCCGCUUGCGGUCGGUUUACAGGUGGUGCAUGGUUGUCGUCAGCUCGUGUCGUGAGAUGUUGGGUUAAGUCCCGCAACGAGCGCAACCCUCGUUCUAUGUUGCCAGCGCGUUAUGGCGGGGACUCAUAGGAGACUGCCGGGGUCAACUCGGAGGAAGGUGGGGACGACGUCAAAUCAUCAUGCCCCUUAUGUCUUGGGCUUCACGCAAGCUACAAU